CAGUCGCCACGGGAAUACGGAGGGCGCGUGCGUUACCCGGAUUUACUGGGCGUAAAGGGCGUGUAGGCGGCCUGGGGCGUCCCAUGUGAAAGGCCACGGCUCAACCGUGGAGGAGCGUGGGAUACGCUCAGGCUAGAGGGUGGGAGAGGGUGGUGGAAUUCCCGGAGUAGCGGUGAAAUGCGCAGAUACCGGGAGGAACGCCGAUGGCGAAGGCAGCCACCUGGUCCACUUCUGACGCUGAGGCGCGAAAGCGUGGGGAGCAAACCGGAUUAGAUACCCCUGUAGUCCCUGUCUCUUAUAC
rnacentral:rRNA from 1 species